ACCCCAGACUCCUACGGGAGGCAGCAGUGGGGAAUAUUGCACAAUGGGGGGAACCCUGAUGCAGCGACGCCGCGUGAGUGAAGAAGUAUUUCGGUAUGUAAAGCUCUGUCAGCAGGGAAGAAGAAAGACGGUACCUGACCAAGAAGCCCCGGCUAACUACGUGCCAGCAGCCGCGGUAAUACGUAGGGGGCAAGCGUUAUCCGGAUUUACUGGGUGUAAAGGGAGCGUAGGCGGCCAUGCAAGUCAGAAGUGAAAACCCGGGGCUCAACCCUGGGAGUGCUUUUGAAACUGUGCGGCUAGAGUGUCGGAGGGGUAAGUGGAAUUCCUAGUGUAGCGGUGAAAUGCGUAGAUAUCAGGAGGAACACCGGCGGCGAAGGCGGCCUGCUGGACCGCUACUGACGUUGAGGCUCGAAAGCGUGGGGAGCGAACAGGAUUAGAUACCCUCGUA
rnacentral:rRNA from 1 species